GAAAAUGUAGCUCAGUAGUAGGGUGCAUGCUUAGUGGACAUGUGGCCCUGGAUUCAAUUCCCAGCACUUCUC
rnacentral:tRNA from 1 species